rnacentral:rRNA from 1 species
GAUGAACGCUGGCGGCGUGCCUAAUACAUGCAAGUCGAGCGAACGGACGAGAAGCUUGCUUUUCUGAUGUUAGCGGCGGACGGGUGAGUAACACGUGGAUAACCUACCUAUAAGACUGGGAUAACUUCGGGAAACCGGAGCUAAUACCGGAUAAUAUUUUGAACCGCAUGGUUCAAAAGUGAAAGACGGUCUUGCUGUCACUUAUAGAUGGAUCCGCGCUGCAUUAGCUAGUUGGUAAGGUAACGGCUUACCAAGGCAACGAUGCAUAGCCGACCUGAGAGGGUGAUCGGCCACACUGGAACUGAGACACGGUCCCGACUCCUACGGGAGGCAGCAGUAGGGAAUCUUCCGCAAUGGGCGAAAGCCUGACGGAGCAACGCCGCGUGAGUGGUGAAGGUCUUCGGAUCGUAAAACUCUGUUAUUAGGGAAGAACAUAUGUGUAAGUAACUGUGCACAUCUUGACGGUACCUAAUCAGAAAGCCACGGCUAACUACGUG